AUGGACCGGAUUUUGAGUGAGAUGAAUGAGCUUCGGAAGGAACUGCUUCGUUUGCCAGAGUUAUGCGCACAGAGGAUGAUUAAGAAACUGAACAAAACCGGCGUCUUCUACAAACCCAGUAACCUGGAAGAAGACAAAGAGAAUCUGUACGGAGGCAUUAAUGAGUAUUCAAACGGUGGACGUCCGAAAAAAGAGUUUGUAUAUCAAAAAGAUGAUUCAGACCGGUUCCGCACACCUUCCAAAAUGAAUUUGCAAAAGGAUGAUGACGACGGUGAUGUAACUUCUCGUGGAAACACACCUUUUUACUGCACACCUGAGUAUUGUGAUAGUUUCAAGGGUGAUAUGGAUGAUCCUAUCCAAGUACCAGAAGUAUUAGAUGAAAAAGCUGCCACAUCUUUAGGGACGGACGAAAUCGCAUCGCAUGCGUCGCUUGGUUCUCAAGGAGUACAAGAGGAAGUGGAGGAGGUUACUGGCAGGAGCAAGCGCAAAGGAUCACAACAUGUCAAGUCUCCUUAUGUGGUCCCUAAACCGAACAAGCGUGCAAAACGUUCUGCGAAAGGAAAAUUGUUCCAAAAUGGUGGUGUUAACAAAUCUAGUGAUGAGUAUGAUGUGGUGAUAGCGUCCAUCAAGUACGUGCGCGCGCAUGAGCAUUCACAAAAACAUGCCAAAACAGAAAUUUUCAAUGAUGGCUUGGAAGAAAGUCUGACUGUGCGGAGAGCUUGUCAGAUUAUUAACCAUGAGUGGCUAAGUAGAGAUGUAAUUAAUGCAUACUCAUCAUAUUUGGUCGACAAAGUUAGUGAUGAUCGUUUCAUGUUGACAACUUGGAGGAUACAUUGGUUGCUUCACGUUAGACCCGAAAAGAAGACCACCGGUAACGAUUAUGAAGCAGAGUCGCAUAGUAAUGGACCCGUGAAUAGAUGUGAGGACGAGUAUUUCAAAAAUCAAAGACUUACAUUUCUCUAA
rnacentral:rRNA from 1 species